GCCUGGCUGGCUCAGUCGAUAAAACAUGCGACUUUUGAUCUCAGGGUCAUGAGUUCAAGCCCCAUGUUGGGCA
rnacentral:tRNA from 1 species